GAACCCAUGCCCCUUCACCAUAUCUCUUACUCCAGCCCGCUACUUCCCUCACUUCAUUUCCUGUUCUCCUGGAUCCCCUUUCUCGUCUAGCUCGCUGGGGAAGCCAGUCGCCGUUGCAACACCAGCCUCAGGAAUCGGCGGGAUACGCUAGCCCUCAGUCCAGAUCAACGUCCAUGCCUCCGGCUUCGACACGCAGGCCCGCUGGACGCCGCCAUGAACCACCUUGUUUUUCCGGUGCGUUCUUGCUCCUAGGUAGUUCCCUUAGCUCCAUUGUUCCUUUAAUGGUGAUUCUAGGCACCAACGUGCAGCAGCCUCUUGGACCGAGGCCACCUUCGUUGGUUCCGCCGGCCGCCAUUGCGAUGCCGCGGUCAUCUUUCUCACCGAACAGCUCCAGAGACUAUGACGGGCUCCGUGUUGUCCGCAUCUCCUCUGGACAAUGGAUUCAAAGCCACAGGUCCAUCCUACUUCUUCCCUGACGUUGACCGCCAUUGUCACUGUCCGGAGCUCAUUGCUCUGCUCCGUCCGACCUUGCCACUUACAGCAUGGGUUUCUUCAUCGUUUCAAUAGAGUCAGGCAAUGAGGGGAAUUAUGAGUUCGAUCCGCAGCUUCAUCAGGACAUUGACCAGGAAGGCAAGCAUCAUGAAUUCCCUAGCUUAUGUUUUACUUAUGUUGAAGGAUUAUACUAUCUUGUUGCUCGUGUUGGUUACCAUGUCGUACCUUUCUUUGCAAUAUCCAUGUUUAGGACACGCAACAGGAACCGGUAGUUUAACCAGAGAAGGAACUUCAUUCUCUCACACUUGAUAUGAUAGCAUUUAUCAGAUCAGGUUAUAGAAGCAAAUAUUAAGUACCAUCAGACUGAUGUCUGAUUCUCUCUGAAUUACACUGCCUAUCCACUAUUAUUGUUGUCCAUGUGGAGCAGGGCUUGUAAAUAAACAUAUAUACUGUUGUAGUCAAGUUAACUUGAAUUAGCUAGGAUGAAUCGGACACUUUUGCAAUUUCCAUAAAUAGAUCAACAGGUUAGUCAUCCGCAUGAGACGACCGAUCUAUUCUUGUUAACAAUGAAACAAAUAUCGAUUUCAAUCACGAAGAAUAACUACACUUCUGUGUUUGUCUCAGAAGUAAAACUUUUCUAUUUUGACCAUGUCUCUAGGAAAAACAUUGACUGAAAACUGAAAUAAUACUGUGCUAUUGGUCAAGGUAUGCCUGGAAGUGGGCGAGCCAGCUUGAUCUGGUGAUGAUUCACCUGAAGAAUUGACCUGCUGGCACGAUGUGUAGAGGGGAGGGAGCUGAUCUUGCGGGUGAGGAAGCAGAUCUUGCAAUCGAACUCAUCUUUCCGACGCAGAUGAACACUGACGAUGGAAUGGAAAAGAGAGGGUGGGUGAGAAUGCUGGUGCACAGAGCGGAGAAGAAAGGGAUGGAUAAGGUCACGUCUUUAGCAAUUGAGCAAGUGGAACAACCUCGCCUCGUCCAAUAUCCCGUGCCGGCCCAGUAUAUACCAGAGCUUAUGAUUUUUCCUCUUCUGUAAGCCCAGAACACAAUAUAAAUAUGAAUUGGAACAACCAAAUUGUAUUAACAGAAGAAAUCAUGACGCUUACAAAGGUUUAUAAAAUGCACUAAUAAACAGGAUAGUAAAGUUUAGUCGGAUUUUUUAGAACAUAAAUUUUCAUUGUUAUUAAGUGUUAGUGACGGCUUCUGAAUGAAAGAACAAUAUUAGCAUGUUUGGAUUAAAAGUGGAACAUGUAAUCACAUUACAUGGGAAAACUGUGAUAUAGAAC
rnacentral:rRNA from 1 species